CCCUUAGAUGUUCUGGGCUGCACGCGCGCUACACUGAUGCACUCAACGAGUUUACGACCUUGCCCGAUAGGGUUGGGUAAUCUUUUUAAAAUGCAUCGUGAUGGGGAUAGAUUAUUGCAAUUAUUAAUCUUCAACGAGGAAUUCCUAGUAAGCGCGAGUCAUCAGCUCGUGCUGAUUACGUCCCUGCCCUUUGUACACACCGCCCGUCGCUCCUACCGAUUGAGUGCUCAGGUGAAUAAUUCGGACUGCAGCAAUGUUUGGAUCCCGAACGUUGCAGCGGAAAGUUUAGUGAACCUUAUCACUUAGAGGAAGGAGAAGUCGUAACG
rnacentral:rRNA from 1 species